rnacentral:rRNA from 1 species
UCAAGCGAAUAAGCGCACACGGUGGAUGCCUUGGCGGUCAGAGGCGAUGAAGGACGUGGCAGCCUGCGAAAAGUAUCGGGGAGCUGGCAACAAGCUUUGAUCCGGUAAUGUCCGAAUGGGGAAACCCACCCGCUUGCGGGUAUCCUGCAGUGAAUACAUAGCUGCUGGAAGCGAACCUGGUGAACUGAAAUAUCUAAGUAACCAGAGGAAAAGAAAUCAACCGAGAUUCCGUAAGUAGCGACGAGCGAACGCGGACUAGCCCUUAAGCUGGAUUGGUUCUAGGAAAACGCUCUGGAAAGAGCGGCCAUAGAAGGUGAUAGCCCUGUAUCUGAAAGGGCCAUUCCAGUGAAGACGAGUAGGGCGGGGCACGUGAAACCCUGUCUGAACAUGGGGGGACCAUCCUCCAAGGCUAAAUACUACUGACCGACCGAUAGUGAACCAGUACCGUGAGGGAAAGGCGAAAAGAACCCCGGAGAGGGGAGUGAAAUAGAACCUGAAACCGUGUGCGUACAAGCAGUAGGAGCUCCGCAAGGAGUGACUGCGUACCUUUUGUAUAAUGGGUCAGCGACUUACUGUUCGUGGCAAGCUUAACCGUAUAGGGGAGGCGAAGGGAAACCGAGUCUGAUAAGGGCGCAUAGUCGCGGGCAGUAGACCCGAAACCGGGUGAUCUAGUCAUGCCCAGGGUGAAGGUGCGGUAACACGCACUGGAGGCCCGAACCCACUCCCGUUGCAAAGGUAGGGGAUGAGGUGUGAUUAGGAGUGAAAAGCUAAUCGAACCCGGAGAUAGCUGGUUCUCCUCGAAAGCUAUUUAGGUAGCGCCUCAUAUGUAUCCUCUCGGGGGUAGAGCACUGUUAUGGCUAGGGGGUCAUCGCGACUUACCAAACCAUUGCAAACUCCGAAUACCGAGACGGACUGUAUGGGAGACACACGGCGGGUGCUAACGUCCGUCGUGAAAAGGGAAACAACCCAGACCCACAGCUAAGGUCCCAAAUUCACUGCUAAGUGGAAAACCAUGUGGAAAGGCACAGACAGCCAGGAGGUUGGCUUAGAAGCAGCCACCCUUUAAAGAAAGCGUAAUAGCUCACUGGUCGAGUCGGUCUGCGGGGAAGAUUUAACGGGGCUAAGCAGUGAACCGAAGCUUGGGGUGCAUAACUUUGUUAUGCGCGGUAGAGGAGCGUUCCGUAAGCCGUUGAAGGUGGAUUGAGAAGUCUGCUGGAGGUAUCGGAAGUGCGAAUGCUGACAUGAGUAACGAUAAUGCGGGUGAAAAACCCGCACGCCGAAAGCCCAAGGUUUCCUUGCGCAACGUUAAUCGGCGCAGGGUGAGUCGGCCCCUAAGGCGAGGACGAAAGUCGUAGUCGAUGGGAAGCAGGUUAAUAUUCCUGCACCUCGCGUAAGUGCGAUGGAGGGACGGAGAAGGUUAGGUGUACCAGGCGUUGGUUGUCCUGGGGAAAGGCGGUAGGUUUGGAUCUUUGGCAAAUCCGGGAUCCUUUAAGACCGAGCACCGAGACGAGCCUUUAUGGCGAAGUCACUGAUACCACGCUUCCAGGAAAAGCUCCUAAGCUUCAGCUUACGCAGACCGUACCGUAAACCGACACAGGUGGGUAGGAUGAGAAUUCUCAGGCGCUUGAGAGAACUCGGGUGAAGGAACUAGGCAACAUGGCACCGUAACUUCGGGAGAAGGUGCACCCUUUUUGGUGGCUCGUGCGAGCUAUAGCUGAAGAGGGUCGCAGUAACCAGGCCGCUGCGACUGUUUAUCAAAAACACAGCACUCUGCAAACACGAAAGUGGACGUAUAGGGUGUGACGCCUGCCCGGUGCUGGAAGGUUAAUUGAUGGGGUCAGCCGCAAGGCGAAGCUCUUGAUCGAAGCCCCAGUAAACGGCGGCCGUAACUAUAACGGUCCUAAGGUAGCGAAAUUCCUUGUCGGGUAAGUUCCGACCUGCACGAAUGGCGUAACGACAGCGGCGCUGUCUCCACCCGAGACUCAGUGAAAUUGAAAUCGCUGUGAAGAUGCAGCGUUCCCGUGGCAAGACGGAAAGACCCCGUGAACCUUUACUAUAGCUUUACACUGAACGUUGAGUUCGUCUGUGUAGGAUAGGUGGGAGGCUAUGAAACCAUGGCGCUAGCUGUGGUGGAGCCAUCCUUGAAAUACCACCCUGUCGUGCUUGACGUUCUAACCUGGGCCCAUUAUCUGGGUCGGGGACCGUGUAUGGUGGGUAGUUUGACUGGGGCGGUCUCCUCCUAAAGAGUAACGGAGGAGCUCGAAGGUACGCUCAGCGCGGUCGGACAUCGCGCACUGUGUGCAAAGGCAUAAGCGUGCUUGACUGCAAGAUCGACGGAUCAAGCAGGUAGGAAACUAGGACUUAGUGAUCCGGUGGUUCUGUAUGGAAGGGCCAUCGCUCAACGGAUAAAAGGUACUCCGGGGAUAACAGGCUGAUACCGCCCAAGAGUUCAUAUCGACGGCGGUGUUUGGCACCUCGAUGUCGGCUCAUCACAUCCUGGGGCUGUAGUCGGUCCCAAGGGUAUGGCUGUUCGCCAUUUAAAGUGGUACGCGAGCUGGGUUCAGAACGUCGUGAGACAGUUCGGUCCCUAUCUGCCAUGGGCGUUGGAGAUUUGAGAGGGGCUGCUCCUAGUACGAGAGGACCGGAGUGGACGAACCUCUGGUGUUCCGGUUGUCACGCCAGUGGCAUUGCCGGGUAGCUAUGUUCGGAAGCGAUAACCGCUGAAAGCAUCUAAGCGGGAAGCGCGCCUCAAGAUGAGAUCUCCCGGGGCACAAGCCCCCUGAAGGAACCAUGUAGACUACGUGGUUGAUAGGUCAGGUGUGUAAGUACAGCAAUGUAUUGAGCUAACUGAUACUAAUGAUCCGUGCGGCUUGACCAU